AGCGCCGUGGCCUAGUGGUAAGAGCACAGGCCUGGGAGUCAGAGGACCUGGGUUCUAAUCCCAGCUCUGCCA
rnacentral:tRNA from 1 species